ensembl:lncRNA
UUUCAAAAGUGGCGUGUUUCACAGUGCUCCAGGUGUGUGUGUGUCCCACUGUCCCGUGCUCCAGGUGUGUGUGUGUCCCGUGCUCCAGGUGUGUGUGUGUGUGUGUGUGUCCCACUGUCCCGUGCUCCAGGUGUGUGUGUGUGUCCCGUGCUCCAGGUGUGUGUGUGUCACUGUCCCUUGCUACAGGUGUGUGUGUGUGUCCCACUGUUCCGUGCUCCAGGUGUGUGUGUGUGUGUGUCCAUCUGUCCCGUGCUCCAGGUGUGUGUGUGUGUGUGUGUUCAUCUGUCCCGUGCUCCAGGUGUGUGUGUGUGUGUGUGUCCCGUGCUCCAGGUGUGUGUAAUCUGUAAUAUAAAGGUAGUGUGUAGUCUGUAAAUAUAGAGUAGUGAGUGUAAAGGGCAGUAGUGGUGUGUGAAAGCAGGGAGGACAUGAGA